GAUGAACGCUCGCGGCAGGCCUAACACAUGCAAGUCGAGGGAGAGGUUACCUUCGGGUAACCAAAACCGGCGCACGGGUGCGUAACGCGUAUACAAUCUGCCUUUCACAUAGGGAUAGCCCGAAGAAAUUUGGAUUAAUACCUAAUGGUAUAUAAAAGCGGCAUCGUUUUUAUAUUAAAGCUACGGUAGUGAAAGAUGAGUAUGCGUUCUAUUAGCUAGUUGGAGAGGUAACGGCUCCCCAAGGCGACGAUAGAUAGGGGUUCUGAGAGGGAUGUCCCCCACACUGGUACUGAGAUACGGACCAGACUCCUACGGGAGGCAGCAGUGAGGAAUAUUGGACAAUGGUCGGAAGACUGAUCCAGCCAUGCCGCGUGCAGGAUGAAGGGCCUAUGGAUUGUAAACUGCUUUUGUAAGGAAGAAUAAGAGCUACGGGUAGUUUGAUGACGGUACCUUACGAAUAAGCAUCGGCUAACUCCGUG
rnacentral:rRNA from 1 species